GGUCUAUUAGUCUAGUUGGUUAGGACGUCGGAUUCUGAUUUAGCAAUCAUAUUCUUCCGUAGGCCCAGGUUCGAAUCCUGGAUGGACCU
rfam:Colletotrichum incanum strain MAFF 238704 contig2951, whole genome shotgun sequence.